GUUCGUAGUGACCUGCGGAGGAUCAUUAC
rnacentral:rRNA from 1 species